rnacentral:rRNA from 2 species
UUAAGCGACUAAGCGUACACGGUGGAUGCCCUGGCAGUCAGAGGCGAUGAAGGACGUGCUAAUCUGCGAUAAGCGUCGGUAAGGUGAUAUGAACCGUUAUAACCGGCGAUUUCCGAAUGGGGAAACCCAGUGUGUUUCGACACACUAUCAUUAACUGAAUCCAUAGGUUAAUGAGGCGAACCGGGGGAACUGAAACAUCUAAGUACCCCGAGGAAAAGAAAUCAACCGAGAUUCCCCCAGUAGCGGCGAGCGAACGGGGAGGAGCCCAGAGCCUGAAUCAGUGUGUGUGUUAGUGGAAGCGUCUGGAAAGGCGCGCGAUACAGGGUGACAGCCCCGUACACAAAAAUGCACAUGCUGUGAGCUCGAUGAGUAGGGCGGGACACGUGGUAUCCUGUCUGAAUAUGGGGGGACCAUCCUCCAAGGCUAAAUACUCCUGACUGACCGAUAGUGAACCAGUACCGUGAGGGAAAGGCGAAAAGAACCCCGGCGAGGGGAGUGAAAAAGAACCUGAAACCGUGUACGUACAAGCAGUGGGAGCACAGAGCAAUCUGUGUGACUGCGUACCUUUUGUAUAAUGGGUCAGCGACUUAUAUUCUGUAGCAAGGUUAACCGAAUAGGGGAGCCGAAGGGAAACCGAGUCUUAACUGGGCGUUAAGUUGCAGGGUAUAGACCCGAAACCCGGUGAUCUAGCCAUGGGCAGGUUGAAGGUUGGGUAACACUAACUGGAGGACCGAACCGACUAAUGUUGAAAAAUUAGCGGAUGACUUGUGGCUGGGGGUGAAAGGCCAAUCAAACCGGGAGAUAGCUGGUUCUCCCCGAAAGCUAUUUAGGUAGCGCCUCGUGAAUUCAUCUCCGGGGGUAGAGCACUGUUUCGGCAAGGGGGUCAUCCCGACUUACCAACCCGAUGCAAACUGCGAAUACCGGAGAAUGUUAUCACGGGAGACACACGGCGGGUGCUAACGUCCGUCGUGAAGAGGGAAACAACCCAGACCGCCAGCUAAGGUCCCAAAGUCAUGGUUAAGUGGGAAACGAUGUGGGAAGGCCCAGACAGCCAGGAUGUUGGCUUAGAAGCAGCCAUCAUUUAAAGAAAGCGUAAUAGCUCACUGGUCGAGUCGGCCUGCGCGGAAGAUGUAACGGGGCUAAACCAUGCACCGAAGCUGCGGCAGCGACACUGUGUGUUGUUGGGUAGGGGAGCGUUCUGUAAGCCUGUGAAGGUGUGCUGUGAGGCAUGCUGGAGGUAUCAGAAGUGCGAAUGCUGACAUAAGUAACGAUAAAGCGGGUGAAAAGCCCGCUCGCCGGAAGACCAAGGGUUCCUGUCCAACGUUAAUCGGGGCAGGGUGAGUCGACCCCUAAGGCGAGGCCGAAAGGCGUAGUCGAUGGGAAACAGGUUAAUAUUCCUGUACUUGGUGUUACUGCGAAGGGGGGACGGAGAAGGCUAUGUUGGCCGGGCGACGGUUGUCCCGGUUUAAGCGUGUAGGCUGGUUUUCCAGGCAAAUCCGGAAAAUCAAGGCUGAGGCGUGAUGACGAGGCACUACGGUGCUGAAGCAACAAAUGCCCUGCUUCCAGGAAAAGCCUCUAAGCAUCAGGUAACAUCAAAUCGUACCCCAAACCGACACAGGUGGUCAGGUAGAGAAUACCAAGGCGCUUGAGAGAACUCGGGUGAAGGAACUAGGCAAAAUGGUGCCGUAACUUCGGGAGAAGGCACGCUGAUAUGUAGGUGAAGUCCCUCGCGGAUGGAGCUGAAAUCAGUCGAAGAUACCAGCUGGCUGCAACUGUUUAUUAAAAACACAGCACUGUGCAAACACGAAAGUGGACGUAUACGGUGUGACGCCUGCCCGGUGCCGGAAGGUUAAUUGAUGGGGUCAGCGCAAGCGAAGCUCUUGAUCGAAGCCCCGGUAAACGGCGGCCGUAACUAUAACGGUCCUAAGGUAGCGAAAUUCCUUGUCGGGUAAGUUCCGACCUGCACGAAUGGCGUAAUGAUGGCCAGGCUGUCUCCACCCGAGACUCAGUGAAAUUGAACUCGCUGUGAAGAUGCAGUGUACCCGCGGCAAGACGGAAAGACCCCGUGAACCUUUACUAUAGCUUGACACUGAACAUUGAGCCUUGAUGUGUAGGAUAGGUGGGAGGCUUUGAAGUGUGGACGCCAGUCUGCAUGGAGCCGACCUUGAAAUACCACCCUUUAAUGUUUGAUGUUCUAACGUGGACCCGUGAUCCGGGUUGCGGACAGUGUCUGGUGGGUAGUUUGACUGGGGCGGUCUCCUCCUAAAGAGUAACGGAGGAGCACGAAGGUUGGCUAAUCCUGGUCGGACAUCAGGAGGUUAGUGCAAUGGCAUAAGCCAGCUUGACUGCGAGCGUGACGGCGCGAGCAGGUGCGAAAGCAGGUCAUAGUGAUCCGGUGGUUCUGAAUGGAAGGGCCAUCGCUCAACGGAUAAAAGGUACUCCGGGGAUAACAGGCUGAUACCGCCCAAGAGUUCAUAUCGACGGCGGUGUUUGGCACCUCGAUGUCGGCUCAUCACAUCCUGGGGCUGAAGUAGGUCCCAAGGGUAUGGCUGUUCGCCAUUUAAAGUGGUACGCGAGCUGGGUUUAGAACGUCGUGAGACAGUUCGGUCCCUAUCUGCCGUGGGCGCUGGAGAACUGAGGGGGGCUGCUCCUAGUACGAGAGGACCGGAGUGGACGCAUCACUGGUGUUCGGGUUGUCAUGCCAAUGGCACUGCCCGGUAGCUAAAUGCGGAAGAGAUAAGUGCUGAAAGCAUCUAAGCACGAAACUUGCCCCGAGAUGAGUUCUCCCUGACUCCUUGAGAGUCCUGAAGGAACGUUGAAGACGACGACGUUGAUAGGCCGGGUGUGUAAGCGCAGCGAUGCGUUGAGCUAACCGGUACUAAUGAACCGUGAGGCUUAACCUU